rnacentral:rRNA from 1 species
GCUACGGGUGGCUGCAGUGAGGAAUAUUGGUCAAUGGGCGAGAGCCUGAACCAGCCAAGUCGCGUGAGGGAGUACUGCCCUAUGGGUUGUAAACCUCUUUUGUCGGGGAGCAAAAGCCGGACGUGUCCGGCUGUGAGAGUACCCUAUGAAUAAGCAUAGGCUAAAUCCGUUCCAGCAGCUGCGGUAAUACGGAGGAUGCGAGCGUUAUCAGGCUUUGUUGGGUUUAAAGGGUGCGUAGGUUGUUUUUUAAGUCAGCGUUGAAAGUGUGUGGCUCAACCAUAAAAUUGUCGUUGAAACUGGAAGACGUGAGUGUGUUUGAGGUAGGCGGAAUGCGUGGUGUAGCGGUGAAAGUCAUAGAUAUCACGCAGAACUCCGAUUGCGAAGGCAGCUUACUAAGCCAUAACUGACACUGAAGCACGAAAGCGUGGGGAUCAAACAGGAUUAGAUACCCCAGUAGUC